CCGUGCAGGACGGGGCGGUAGCGGCUCCCUGAACCUUCAAUCCGCUAUAGUAGGGUCCAUGCUUCGGCCUCGGGCAGGCCUUGUGGGGUCAGCCUUGAAUAAGUGGCGUUGAGAAUCGGGUCCCGCGCGGCGGGCUGCCGCGAACCCCGUCAGGUCCGGAAGGAAGCAGCGGUAAGCGGAUUUGUCCCGGGCGCCGCGGGUUCGCCUGGUUUGAGCCGGCUGUUUGAUCAGCGCCUGGAAGGUUUUGUUCAAAGCCAAGCGCACGG
rnacentral:SRP_RNA from 1 species